GGCCUCGUGGCCUAAUGGCUAGGGCGCUAGAUUUCGGUACAUUCUGAUUCUCUAGAGAUUGUCGGUUCGAGUCCGGCCGAGGUCG